GGGCUUUCCGAUUUGAGUCCAAGUAACGACCCAAAAUGAACAGAUAAAACGAAGAAGAGACCCUCCUAUCCACUGAGAUGGAGGAUUCGAAACCCAACCCAACGACAAAGAUCCCCUGCUCGCUUGACUAGAUAUCCAAUUGGCGCAACAAUUAGUUGUUCUGGGAACAUAAACAGAUCAGGCAGAAUGAACUGCCAUGGCCAUAUAACUCUUGAUAUCUUGAAUAAUUGGCUCAAGCUACCAAAGGUCUGGAAGAAGGAGGACUAAACAAUCAUCUUAUAAGCUGCAGCCAGUCUGUCUCAAAGCAAAGCCCCUAUUGAUUGCAAAAAGCAUUGUCGAUUUGAAGCCUACAUUUUCCGCAAAAAGAGGAAAGAAGCAGCGCCACCAUCAAAAUUCCUCGACCCAUGAGCCAGCCAUGCCAUGCCGUUCAGCGAGCCUUAAGACACAGCGGAGCAGGAAUCAGCGGGCGGGUGCCGUAUAACGAGUUCAUAUUGAAGCCUCACUUUUCUCCGUCUCUCGAUCCAAAUUCUGGAGUGCUCAGAUAAUCUUCAGUUUGUCUUUCCUCUGAUCCAAACAGGGUCAUGAAUGAAGGUGGGUAUACUGUAGAAGUUACAGGCCUCUCUCCCAAAGUUACCGAGAAGGUUCUCUGCGAUUGUUUCUCCUUCUCAGAUCCAUUGAUUUUCCCUGUACCGGAUAUGUAACAUUCAAAGAUGCCUAUGAUCAAGAAACUGCUGUCUUACUCGGGUGCAACAAUUAUGGAUCAAUGUGUAUGCAUAACCCGCUGGGGACACUAUGCAGAUGAAUUUGAUUUUUGGAGAGGGUCUUCAUUCAUCAAGACAUCAAGGGAAGAAUAUGAAACUGAAUCAACUGUAUACUAUGCCUGCUAUGUCUAUGUUGUUGUUACACUAAGAUCCACAUGAACAAGUAUUUUUUUUUUAAAUUCUAUAUCAUUCUCAAAUAAAUUAAUCUUUCAUCUUGAAGCAGCCUCCACAAAGAAGUAAAUAUGUUCCUAGUGCUGGAGAAGCGGUAACAGCGUCUCAGGAAGUGGUCAAAACUCACCAUAUUCUGUAUGCAUCAAGUUACUGCAACUGCAGCAGCUAAGGUUGCUGAACUCAUUUUUGUAGGCAUGGAAGCUGUUAAAAGCUGUGGAUCACAAGUACCAUGUCUCUGAUAUGACCAAAUCAGCAAUCUCAGCAACAGGAAGAACAGCUGCAGCAGCAGCAGCAGCAAACACUCGUUAAUUAGCUACUUCUCAUUUCUCAAUGGGCGCUCUUUGGUUGUCAGAUGCUGUGAAUCGAGCAGCCAAAGUUGCCAUUGAUGCAGUGUAUUAAAAUAUGAUUCACAUUUUAAAAAUUUUAUUAGUUUAAUCGAUAAAUAUUUUAUUA